GGGGAUAUAGCUCAGUGGCACAGCACUUGCCUAGCAUGCAUGAGGCCCUGGGUUCAAUCCUCAGUACUGCAA
rnacentral:tRNA from 1 species